UGGAGGGUGCGAGCGUUGUCCGGAAUCACUGGGCGUAAAGGGCGCGUAGGUGGCACGGUAAGCGUGUGGUGAAAGCUCGGGGCUCAACCCCGAGUCGGCCAUGCGAACUGCUGCGCUUGAGCACUGUAGAGGCAGACGGAAUUCCGGGUGUAGCGGUGGAAUGCGUAGAGAUCCGGAAGAACACCGGUGGCGAAGGCGGUCUGCUGGGCAGUAGCUGACACUGAGGCGCGACAGCGUGGGGAGCAAACAGGAUUAGAUACCCUGGUAGUCCACGCCGUAAACGAUGGGCACUAGGUGCCUGGGGGAGCGACCCCCUGGGUGCCGGCGCUAACGCAUUAAGUGCCCCGCCUGGGGAGUACGGCCGCAAGGCUG
rnacentral:rRNA from 1 species